CCAGAUGUUUUGGGUUCUCUCUCUCUCUCAGUCUCUCUCGAUUUUGUCUAUCUCUCUUCUGUUAGAUCGUUGCUACUAUGAAUGAGGGAGAAGAUGAAGUGGUUGUCCAUUGUGACUGCUUUGGCCGGUGUGGAGGAGCUUGGUGAUGAUGGCUAUGACAGUGGCUGACGAGUCUGUGGUGUUUGGUUUUGACUAAGAGAGAGGCUGGCGGUUAAAGAUGGUGGUUGGUAGAGGAGGGACGACGCAGCUGCUGUAAGUG
rnacentral:lncRNA from 1 species